rnacentral:lncRNA from 1 species
CUAAUAUGGUGCAAAAUAAUGCGUUUUGUUAGGCAUAUAUCAUCUAAUACGGACAUUUAAAAGGUUUUAGGCCACAUUUGUAAAAACAGUGGAGGAUCCCUUUAAGUAUUUUAUUUUAAUUUAUGAUGCAUCGCUCGAGGCAUAACUUCCGGUGUCGUAUAUUUUGGAGAUCCUGGACAGGAAAUACUUCCGUUAAGCCACGAGUUUUACCUUGACGUUGGUCUGUGGGGGAGCAGCGAAGCAGCUCAGGGACUAGUCCGACCCGAUGCUGGGGACCCUGGAAGCUGGAGUCCCGGCUGCUGCUGGACCUCCGGGGCCGCCUCUCAGCAGCCCGACACACAGCCGGGAGAACAUGCACUCAGGCCGGAUUGGGUUUCGUCGUUUCACGGGCUUGGUGGUGAACUGGAAACAGAGACCUUUCAGGACUUCAGCGCUGUUUGCUGCAGCCAACACGGUGUUAUGGUUCUUGGCUUUCGGCUCCCACAGAGCGUUCAGCCUGCUGGCCGUCCUCCUCCUCAUCUUCUUCAUCACCGUAGCAUUAAGAGACGCUGUUUGCUCCAGAUCCAAAGGAGCAAACCUAUGGCGGAGCAUGACUACAAGGUAAGGGAUCACAUUUAUUUCCAUUUAAAGACUGGAUGGUUCUAUUCAUGUAAAGUGACCCACAUUAGAUUAGAAAGUUACUGAAAAGUUAGUUGUUUUUAACUCGAUUGUAUCUUAUCUUAUAUAAUACAAACGUAGGAACAUCCUCUGCAUUGUUGAAGUUUUUUAAAUUAUUUUGGGUGAAUUCAGAAGCUUUCAUCAAUGAAUGUCGCCUGUUUUUGUCAAGCUUCUUUAAUCCGAUUACUGAAAGCCAAAGUUUGAAUUUAAAGUGGAUCUUUUAGUUUGUUGAUGUCACAUGAGGAAAGAUUCACUUUUGGAAAUUAAUUACUUGAGGUGAGGAGUUGGUUAAAAAGCGUCUCGCUCUGAGGUCGGGGAUACAGAAACAGUUCUACAAGUUCUUGAAUUACCUGUAAUUGAGUCCAUUCAGGAUGGAUUAUUUUUAAUCAUUUAGGUACAAGCCUUUAUGUUGAAACCAUGGCGACUGUCAGUGUGUCUCAUUGUGUGGUCUGUAAACAUCUGUGACAUUCAACAAACAGGUUACAACAUGCAGCCAGGACAACCAUGGGACGCGUUAUUCUCUCCUCUGUUACACACACAAUUAUCUUUCACUGCCUCUUAAAAAAAGAGCUCUUUUUUUUUUGGUUGUUUAGUUGGCUAGUACAGCUCUCAUGUGACCCACUAAUUAUUAAUAUGACAUGUUCAUGCUCAUAAACUGCUGUGACAUUUAAAGGUUCUUCUUGUCUCCGAGCGUGCCCCCAUCUAAUAUAUUGAUGUAAUAAGACGCUGAACUAUAACUAUAGCGAUGAUUUUUGUGACAAAAAAUAAACAUAUAUAUAUAGACUAUAAAGGUAAAGGG